GCGCACGCUGGCGGCAGGCCUAACACAUGCCAGUCGAACGAACUCUUCGGAGUUAGUGGCGGACGGGUGAGUAACACGUGGGAACGUGCCUUUAGGUUCGGAAUAACUCAGGGAAACUUGUGCUAAUACCGAAUGUGCCCUUCGGGGGAAAGAUUUAUCGCCUUUAGAGCGGCCCGCGUCUGAUUAGCUAGUUGGUGAGGUAAAGGCUCACCAAGGCGACGAUCAGUAGCUGGUCUGAGAGGAUGAUCAGCCACAUUGGGACUGAGACACGGCCCAAACUCCUACGGGAGGCAGCAGUGGGGAAUCUUGCGCAAUGGGCGAAAGCCUGACGCAGCCAUGCCGCGUGAAUGAUGAAGGUCUUAGGAUUGUAAAAUUCUUUCACCGGGGACGAUAAUGACGGUACCCGGAGAAGAAGCCCCGGCUAACUUCGUG
rnacentral:rRNA from 1 species